UCUGAGAAGAUAUAAAGUAUCAAUCUGAGAAGAUAUAAAGUAUCAAUCUGAGAAGAUAUAAAGUAUCAAUCUGAGAAGAUAUAAAGUAAAGAACUCAUAAAACGAGACAUUUUCAAAUCUGCGUAUUUUUUUUUGGGGAAUGUUGAGGCAGCCAAUUAUUUUGCAGUUUAUUACGGAACAAUUCAUUACGGAAGGAGCGUUUCGAAAUGUGCGCUUACGGAAUAGAAAGCAUCAUUUCGAAAGCAUUCAUUAAACUGCUAUACAAAAAAAUGUUAUUAUUUAUUAUUUAGAUAAAAAAAUGUUGUUAAA